UACGUAGGGUGCGAGCGUUAAGCGGAAUUGCUGGGCGUAAAGCGUGCGCAGGCGGUUUUGUAAGCCAGAUGUGGAAUCCCCGGGCUUAACCUGGGAAUGGCAUUUGGGACUGCAAGGCUUGAGUGCGGCAGAGGAGACUGGAAUUCCCGGUGUAGCAGUGAAAUGCGUAGAUAUCGGGAGGAAUACCGAUGGCGAAGGCAGGUCUCUGGGCUGACACUGACGCUCAUGCACGAAAGCGUGGGGAGCAAACAGG
rnacentral:rRNA from 1 species